rnacentral:piRNA from 1 species
UGUGGUUGCAUUUUUUUAUAAAAGUAUAAAU